rnacentral:tRNA from 1 species
GGCUCGGUAGCUCAGUUGGUAAAGCACUAAAGCACUCGUCUAGCAUGCAAGAGUCGUGGGAUCGAUUUCUACCUGAGCAC